UACAGAGGGUGCAAGCGUUGUUCGGAAUUAUUGGGCGUAAAGCGCGUGUAGGCGGCUUUGUAUGUCGGGUGUGAAAUCCCCGGGCUCAACCUGGGAAUUGCAUUCGAAACUGCGAGGCUAGGGUAUGGAAGAGGGAAGCGGAAUUUCUGAUGUAGCGGUGAAAUGCGUAGAUAUCAGAAGGAACAUCAGUGGCGAAAGCGGCUUCCUGGUCCAGUACCGACGUUCAGGCACGAAGGCGUGGGGAGCAAACAGG
rnacentral:rRNA from 1 species